rnacentral:rRNA from 1 species
UACAGAGGUCUCAAGCGUUGUUCGGAUUCAUUGGGCGUAAAGGGUGCGUAGGCGGCGGGGUAAGUCAGGUGUGAAAUCUCGGGGCUCAACCCCGAAACUGCACUUGAUACUGCCUCGCUUGAGUACUGGAGAGGAGACUGGAAUUUACGGUGUAGCAGUGAAAUGCGUAGAUAUCGGGAGGAACACCUGAGGCGAAGGCGGGCUACUGGGCCGAUACUGACGCUGAGGCGCGAAAGCCAGGGGAGCAAACGGG